rnacentral:lncRNA from 1 species
CAGGAAUGAAAAGAAUACAAAUAAUUACAGCGUACACUUGAACGGAAAUAACAAAGUCAUUUAUGGACAUCACUCUCAAAAUUACUUGGACGAUGAUCAGUAUUGCAAGAAGAGUUAAAAGUCUUCCCUUCGUUACCGAUGUUCGAUGAAAGAUAGGAUAAGAUGUCGCCAAAUAUCGAUCGAAAUUCAUCACCAAAAGAGCGAAAUAUGAAAAAGCAAGGAAAAUACCUGUUAAUCUUAAGGAAAUAUGAGGCCAUUUAGCAUUUACAUCCAACUUUUGCGUCAACCAUGAAAUCGAGAUAAGGGUCAUCAAUGGAUUAUUAGUUAAAACCGUAAGCAAAUCGCAACAGGACAAAACCAUUAUCAUGAAAUAACAUAAUUUCUUUCGAAGUUGUAUAGACCUCCAGAAACUGAGUAUGACCAAGGAAUUUAAACAUAUUCCUGAGAAAAAGAAGAAUACGUUCACAGCAAGUAUGAAUAUGAGGUUGAUAAAGUAAUAAGAUUCCAUCCUCGAGCGACUUCUUCUGAAGAAUUAAACAUAAAACAAAAAGCGUUGCGUUUAAAUAUGGCAUCUGAAUUUCAAGUACUCAAGUGUACAAAUUACAUAUACAAGUAAACUAUAUACAUUUCAGGUCAGGGGACAGAUCAUUACACCCGUUUUCAAAAUUACGCGACCUCCUCGAAAAAUAUUCCCACUUCAAAUGUCAGUUUUAUGUCACAAGAACUGCUAAAAAUAGCAAACGUAAACAAACUGUCUAAAGACAUUUUAAACCGUAUUUAAUACCAAAACUGAACAAAAAUGAGUCAGAUAACUUAGAUAUACAAACUAAAGCACAAUACAAACCAUCACAACAGAAAUAUGUCCCGUGAAUGACUUUUAAAGUUUGAAAAAUAACAAUUUAUCCUGGGAUUUAGCUGUCAGUAUAAAAUACGCGCGCUAGACUAUAACGGUGAUGUUAUGAUAUUGUUUUGCUUGAAUUUUACUAUAAUUCUCACUAAAAUAUCUUGAAAAUCAUUGUAAGUCUGUUUAUAUAAAACAUACAAAGCAUAUACAUCGACAAGGAACCGCAAAACUCAAAGUUUGAACUUCGUGAUCGAAUGACAUAAAACUGAUAUGUCAACUCUAGCAUUUUCGUCCUUGGUCGCGUAAUUUUGAAAACGGGUGUAAUGAGGUAUGAACUAAUGGCGGCUGCUUAAAGCGCCAUUUGUAAUCAUAAAAUGGUAAUAUGAGGAAGACAUAGUAUGCUUCUGUGUUUGGAUGCAUUUGAAAAUAUUUCAUAUUUUGUAAGUACAUGCAAGCUCAUGGAAAUUUGUUUGUAAAAAAUACCGCAUGAACGGCAGUGUUAUAUAAGAUGUACAAACACGAGCCACAGGCAAGUGCCUGUUACAUACAACAGAGAACGCGUCAUCAUACUGAUUUAGAAAUGACAGAGCUAUCUAUGCAAUAUAAAAAUAGUUUAGUUUAGGUUUCCUCUUGUAGUAACACUAGGUCAAUAUAAGAGAUGACCCUUAUUGGACCUCUAGGGAAAACAAAUUCCUGAGAAAAAGAAGAAUACGUUCAC